AUUGGACGCUGGCGGCAUGCCUUACACAUGCAAGUCGAACGGUAACAGGUCUUCGGAUGCUGACGAGUGGCGAACGGGUGAGUAAUACAUCGGAACGUGCCUAGUAGUGGGGGAUAACUACUCGAAAGAGUGGCUAAUACCGCAUGAGAUCUACGGAUGAAAGCAGGGGAUCGCAAGACCUUGUGCUACUAGAGCGGCCGAUGGCAGAUUAGGUAGUUGGUGGGAUAAAGGCUUACCAAGCCGACGAUCUGUAGCUGGUCUGAGAGGACGAUCAGCCACACUGGGACUGAGACACGGCCCAGACUCCUACGGGAGGCAGCAGUGGGGAAUUUUGGACAAUGGGCGAAAGCCUGAUCCAGCAAUGCCGCGUGCAGGAUGAAGGCCUUCGGGUUGUAAACUGCUUUUGUACGGAACGAAAAGCUCUGGGUUAAUACCCUGGGGUCAUGACGGUACCGUAAGAAUAAGCACCGGCUAACUACGUGCCAGCCGCCGCAGUAAUAC
rnacentral:rRNA from 1 species